rnacentral:rRNA from 1 species
GAGUUUGAUCGUGGCUCAGGAUGAACGCUAGCGGCAGGCUUAACACAUGCAAGUCGAGGGGCAGCAUAAUGGUAGUAAUACUAUUGAUGGCGACCGGCGGACGGGUGCGUAACGCGUAUGCAACCUACCCUUUACAGGGGGAUAACACUGAGAAAUCGGUACUAAUACCCCAUAAUAUUCUGGGAGGCAUCUUUCGGAGUUGAAAGCUUUGGUGGUAAAGGAUGGGCAUGCGUUGUAUUAGCUAGUUGGUAAGGUAACGGCUUACCAAGGCGACGAUACAUAGGGGGACUGAGACGGUUAACCCCCCACAUUGGUACUGAGACACGGACCAAACUCCUACGGGAGGCAGCAGUGAGGAAUAUUGGUCAAUGGACGGAAGUCUGAACCAGCCAUGCCGCGUGCAAGGAAGACGGCUCUAUGAGUUGUAAACUGCUUUUUGACGAGGGUAAACCAGAUACGUGUAUCUGCCUAG